AACGAACGCUGGCGGCAUGCCUAACACAUGCAAGUCGAACGAGACCUUCGGUUCUAGUGUCGCACGGGUGCGUAACUCGUGGGAACCUGCCCUUCGCUUCGGUAUACCUCCCCGAACUUGUUGCUAAUCCCGUAUAAUGUUUUCUGACCAAGGAUUUUUCGCCUUUGUAGGGGGCUGCGUUUGAUUAGCUAGUUGUUUGGGUAAAAGCCUACCACGCCGCCGAUCCAUAUCUUGUCUGGGAGGAUGAACAGCCACACUGGGACUGAGACACGGCCCAGACUCAUACGGGAGGAAGGAGUGAAGAAUAAUGGACAAAGGGCGAAAGACUGAUGCAGCAAUGCGGGGUGAGAGAUGAAGGCGUUAGGGUUGUAAAGCUGUUUUGCCCGGGAUGAUAAUGACAGUACCGGGAGAAUAAGCGCCGGCUAACUACGUG
rnacentral:rRNA from 1 species